UGGGGAAUAUUGCACAAUGGGCGCAAGCCUGAUGCAGCCAUGCCGCGUGUAUGAAGAAGGCCUUCGGGUUGUAAAGUACUUUCAGUCGGGAGGAAGGUGUCAAGGUUAAUAACCUUGGCAAUUGACGUUACCGACAUAAGAAGCACCGGCUAACUCCGUGCCAGCAGCCGCGGUAAUACGGAGGGUGCAAGCGUUAAUCGGAAUUACUGGGCGUAAAGCGCACGCAGGCGGUUGAUCGAGUCAGAUGUGAAAUCCCCGGGCUUAACCCGGGAAUUGCAUCUGAUACUGGUCAGCUAGAGUCUUGUAGAGGGGGGUAGAAUUCCAUGUGUAGCGGUGAAAUGCGUAGAGAUGUGGAGGAAUACCGGUGGCGAAGGCGGCCCCCUGGACAAAGACUGACGCUCAGGUGCGAAAGCGUGGGGAGCAAACAGG
rnacentral:rRNA from 1 species